rnacentral:rRNA from 1 species
UACCAGCACCCCGAGUUGUCGGGACGAUUAUUGGGCCUAAAGCAUCCGUAGCCUGUUCUGCAAGUCCUCCGUUAAAUCCACCCGCUUAACGGAUGGGCUGCGGGGGAUACUGCAGAGCUAGGAGGCGGGAGAGGCAAACGGUACUCAGUGGGUAGGGGUAAAAUCCAUUGAUCUACUGAAGACCACCAGUGGCGAAGGCGGCUUGCCAGAACGCGCUCGACGGUGAGGGAUGAAAGCUGGGGGAGCAAACCGG